rnacentral:lncRNA from 1 species
AUCGUUAAUCAAAAAAGUACAUGUAGUAACUUUAUUUUCAAAAUAAAUUAUAUAUAUAUUUUUAUUAAAAUAAAAAUUGUAGUCAUCCUGUGCUAACACAGAUAUAGAAAUUAGAUUUCUACUGACUAUAGGUACAAAAUAGCAGUCUUUCAAAAUUUAACUAAUUCCUAACGAAAGUCCCAGGCGGUAGAUCCUGACGGCCAC